GCAAGUCGAACGAGAACGGAAUAUAGCUUGCUAUAUUUGUCAGCUAAGUGGCGCACGGGUGAGUAAUAUAUAGUUAAUCUGCCCUAGAGAGAGGGAUAACGUUUGGAAACGGACGCUAACACCUCAUAUGCCUUUAUUACAUAAGUAAGCAAGGGAAACAUUUAUGGCUCUAGGAUGAGACUGUACGGUAUCAGUUAGUUGGUGAGGUAAUGGCUCACCAAGACAAUGACGCUUAACUGGUUUGAGAGGAUGAUC
rnacentral:rRNA from 1 species